UACGGAGGAUGCAAGCGUUAUCCGGAAUGAUUGGGCGUAAAGCGUCCGCAGGUGGCAAUGUAAGUCUGCUGUUAAAGAGUCUAGCUCAACUAGAUAAAAGCAGUGGAAACUACAUAGCUAGAGUACGUUCGGGGCAGAGGGAUUCCUGGUGUAGCGGUGAAAUGCGUAGAGAUCAGGAAGAACACCAGUGGCGAAGGCGCUCUGCUAGGCCGUAACUGACACUGAGGGACGAAAGCUAGGGGAGCGAAUGGG
rnacentral:rRNA from 1 species